rnacentral:rRNA from 1 species
UACGUAGGGUGCAAGCGUUGUCCGGAAUUAUUGGGCGUAAAGAGCUCGUAGGCGGCUCGUCACGUCGGCUGUGAAAACCCGGGGCUCAACCCCGGGCCUGCAGUCGAUACGGGCGAGCUAGAGUUCGGCAGGGGAGACUGGAAUUCCUGGUGUAGCGGUGAAAUGCGCAGAUAUCGGGAGGAACACCGGUGGCGAAGGCGGUUCUCUGGGCCUUACCUGACGCUGAGGAGCGAAAGCGUGGGGAGCGAACAGG